rnacentral:lncRNA from 1 species
UUUAUUUUUUUAUAUAAAGAGUUUACCAGUAAAAUCUAUAGAGAUUGAACUAGUUUACAAAAAUUUCCUGAGUUUGAUUAACGGUUUUAUAGUUAAAGCUCUAGCUAAUAAUAAGUCGUUGACAAAUCAAGUAGGUUUCUGUGGUACUGUGAUAGUAUUGAUCUAACACAAGACUUUAAUUAAGUUACAGUAACAUUACACCAGAUCAAACUAGAUACUCACAAUACAACAGCUCCUGUCUGCAGUCUAUAAAAGAUCUUACUGCAAUUCUUUGAGCUGCUUCCUAUGUAAUAUAUAUAUAUAUAUAUAUAUAUAUAUGAGAUGGCCUACUACAAACACACCAUUAUAUAUCAAGGUUUGAAUGAUCUAGCAAGACGAGUUUGUGGCUUGGGGUAAUUGACAAUCGUAAUCCCACCAUAGCGAGCUGCAGCAUCUCUGCUAUUGAUGACACUCAUAGGCUCUUCCAACUCAUCAUUGGGCACUUGAACCACCCAAGGUCCUUGUCUUGAAGGAAAUACCCCAUUCCUUUUGGGUCUGCUUUGUGCUGAUGGACCAUAAAACCUGUCUAUUAGAUCAAAGCCUUCAGAAGCUAUAACUCUCAGGUCAGUGGGUGGUGCCAUUGAUGAUUUGAUGAUGCUCAAUAACAGUACAAGAGACACCAGUUUCAGUGGAAGUUGAUGAUCUUUGAGUGUAUGUGUGUGUUUGUUAUCUUGCUUCUUGCUUCGAAACAAGAAGCGCAGGUCCACUUUAUAAAGAAGCAAAAGUGGUCUUCAUAUGGGACCAAGAA